rnacentral:rRNA from 1 species
ACGGAAGGCAGCAGUGGGGAAUAUUGCACAAUGGGCGCAAGCCUGAUGUAGCAACGCCGCGUGAGGGAAGACGGUUUUCGGAUUGUAAACCUCUGUUCUUGGUGACGAAGAAGUGACGGUAGCCAAGGAGAAAGCCACGGCUAACUACGUGCCAGCAGCCGCGGUAAUACGUAGGUGGCAAGCGUUAUCCGGAAUUACUGGGUGUAAAGGGAGCGCAGGCGGGACAGCAAGUCAGCGGUGAAAUGUAUGGGCUCAACCCAUGAACUGCCGUUGAAACUGUUGUUCUUGAGUGGAGUAGAGGUAGGCGGAAUUCCGAGUGUAGCGGUGAAAUGCGUAGAUAUUCGGAGGAACACCAGUGGCGAAGGCGGCCUACUGGGCUCUAACUGACGCUGAGGCUCGAAAGUGUGGGGAGCAAACAGGAUUAGAUACCCUGGUA